CCUUUAAGCGAAAAUCAUCCUUCACGUGUGGACGCACCCUUACGCACGACGACGCUGUGCCGCCAUGCGGUUACGCGUCCGGUAAACAUCGUAAAAAUUGUAAGAUGGCAUUAUGUGUCGUUAGCGAUACUUUUUAAUUGUUUAGUUCUGCGAAUUUCGUGUUACUUCUGUGCGAAUUAAUUAAAAGUGAGUUAAGGUUAUAGUGCAUCGGAUCUUUUUCACGGAUCCUGUUCCGUAUAAAUGAAUAGAUAAACCUAUCAAUAAAGAGAGAGUGAAAAGUAUUUUCAUUAUUCCGAUGUGUUUCCAGAGUAUUAAGUGAAAUCGCGUUGUAUAUUAUAUCGUAACAUGUUGACGAAUUUUGCAUUGCUGGUUAUUUAUAAAUAAAGAGUGACUCCUGUUACGUGAAACAACUGCCUUAAGCCGUGUUUAACCAGUGCAUGUCCAACUUCUGUGAAUACUGAUAUAUUAUUUUAUAUUAUAUAUUACUAAUGUUUUACAAACUAUUCCCAUUCGCUGUUGGUUUUAAAUUUUUGUGAUUUUAGCAUUGUAGCAACCUGCUACUGAGAUCUUUCAUGUAAGAGAGAUGAAGAACAGCACCGUAAUCAAGAUAGCCAAGGCUUUGUACACUGCUGGAAUUGCCAAAUAGGGACUACUUCUGUGAACAAUCUCCG